AACUCCAAUUACGUUGGAACCAUUUCCCUGCCACUUUUCUUCUGCUAGAGGCUAGAGCUGCAAGGAGCAAGUAUAGCUAAUGGAUCAUAAGUUGAUUUUCUCUGCACAAAGACUUCCCAGCGUGGACCAAAGUGGGCCCGCCACUGCUCCUGUGUCUUGUAAUGAGGGAGAUAUUGCUUUACCCCAAGAUGCGCAUCCUCACAGAAAUCCAGAACCCUUUGGUUUUGAGUUAAUAUAUGAGCUAAGCCGUCGGUUCCUGUGGAUGUGGGAUUUGCUUGUGAUAGGAAGGCCACCAGGGCUCAAGUCGGUUUAUUAUCGACAUCUGUUACUGUAGUAUGCUCUUUUACCAUCUUUGGCGCUGGCUCCAGAGAGAUUCUUGCUCUAGUUAUUAUGCCAAACUGCCCGAGUCCUCCCAGCACUCCAUGGAAGAGUGUAUAUUAGGAUCUUAUAUAUACCUGUAACAACCUCGAGCUGAUGGACGUUACUGAUUUGGGGGCCAUGUCGAAAUGCCUGCCCGCUGAUCCCUGCAUUAGACAAAGUACCGCCAACUGUAAGAUCAGGGACAUCCACAUAGGGGAAGCGUCCUUCGUGAACACGCAUGAUGUCACCUCCACGGAGUGACUCCAUGUUGAUUAUGAUUCCUUGGUGUGCUUGUGCCUGACCUUGGAGCGAGUGGCCAUGGCCCCUAGCAGCAACUGUCAGUUCUGAGCCGGGUCCCAUUUGCCAAACAUGCUUUAUGGUUGUGGAAAUAUCAGCGACGGACUUGGGGUGUAAAACUGCCAAAGGGAGGUGAUGAUAUCGAUUGCCAAAAUCUCUGGCGGCUAAUUCGUUGUUCUCAAAGCUGAAAUGGCCGUAGAGCUGAAGCGCCUUCAGCGAAGACGGGACACUGGAGAAACACAGAGAGUUUUUGGCAAGGCAAAGGUGGAAACUUUCUGUUGUUUUUUGGGCUCGAAGUAAAAGAAAAAGUAGAGGCGAGAACAGGCAAGGCUGAAGAGUCGAGGAGGAAAUUUAAAGGGAGAUUUGGGUGGCAGAGUCAACCAAUCUUCAACCUUCAAUCUUCAAUCUUCAAUGGUAAGCAUCCGUAUGAAGACUUGCUACUUUUGGUGGGAUAGUCUGAAAGAAAUAUUUUUAGUUCCCUUUUUCUGCUUCUUUAAUUUAUAGCAACACAACAUCACAUAUGCCAAGUUGAAGGCCCCAAAAAAAAAAAAAAAAAAAGUCACAACAAAGAUUUCCCAAAUCUUUUCACUUUCACUUACAGUUGAUUCCAUAUUUUCACCUUUUUAUUUUUUUUCCUUAAAAAAACAAAACCAUCGUAAUCUUUACUCAAUUACUAUGUCGAGGAUUAGCUUUGCCAUUAUAGGAAAGGUAACAGACUAACAGUUGUGCAUGGAUGCGUAUUUUCUUUAAUUUGUUACUCUGAGGAUGAGUUUUGUUUAGAAUUGAGGCAAAAAACAUAGCGUAUCUAAAUUCAGAUCUAUGAAAGGGACGAGUGGACCGGGGGGUGGAUCAUGUGUGCAGGCAUGAUAUUUAGGGGUCCAUAUGACACGUGAAAUUGGAAUAAAUGUGUUGUUAUUCAAGGAAGAUCUAUAGACUAGCUGUUGGUUGGGUCCCUGGGCCGACGAAUGGAUGCAGAGAGAGGACAAGUCGGAGAAAACAAUGAAAGAAAGAAAGAAAGAAAGACUGUUUGUUUAAUUGUUUUGCCAGUAUGCUGCCAAUGCCAGAGUCUUGAUGACCUAGCCCAACAAAUCGACAAGCAGAUAGAUAAUCGAGUGCUUUAUAUCUUGAGAUUGGCCAUGGAAUCCAAACCGGCGAAUAUAAUAAGAAUUUGUGUGCUUGCUUUUAUGCAGACAUGUUUGCUUUUUUGGACUUGGAUGAGGAAUAGGGGGGGUUAGAUUCACAGAUAUUCUCAGACUCUUUUGAUGUGGGUGAUCAUCUUGUCUUUGAAAGAUGGAUGGAAUAAUAUCCAUUGUCUUUAUCAUCA